UGGAUCCUGCCGGACCCUACUGCUAUCGGGUGGAGACUAAGCCAUGCGAGUUGUGCGCCUCCUAGCCACGUUGGAGACGCAGCGUACGGCUCCGUAACACGUAGUUAAUCUGCCCUUGGGACGGGAAUAACCCUGGGAAACUGGGGCUAAUUCCCGAUAGGCGCAGUGGCCUGGAAUGGUACUGCACUCAAAAGGCUUCAGGAACAUGCUCUUGAAGCUGCCCAAGGAUGAGACUGCGGCCGAUCAGGUUGUUGGUAGGGUAACGGCCUACCAAGCCUAUAACCGGUACGGGCCCUGAGAGGGGAAGCCCGGAGAUGGGAACUGAGACAAGGUCCCAGGUCCUACGGGGCGCAGCAGGCGCGAAAACUCCGCAAUGCGCGAAUGCGUGACGGGGUUAUCCCGAGUGCCGUCCGAUGAGGAUGGCUUUUCUUCAGUUUAAGGAUCUGGAGGAAUAAAGGGGGGGCAAGACUGGUGUCAGCCGCCGCGGUAAUACCAGCCCCCUGAGUGGUAGGGACGAUUAUUUGGCCUAAAGCGUCCGUAGCCGGCUUAGGAAGUCUUUCGUCAAAUCCGACGAUUCCAUCGUUGGGCCGCGGAAGAUACUGCUAGGCUUGAGGACGGGAGAGGUCGACGGUAGUCCCAGGGUAGGGGUGAAAUCCUAUAAUCCUGGGAGGACCACCAGUGGCGAAGGCGGUCGACUAGAACGUGCCUGACGGUGAUGGACGAAAGCUGGGGGAGCGAACCGGAUUAGACACCCGGGUAGUCCCAGCUGUAAACGAUGCGAGCUAGGUGUUGGAGCAACUACGGGUUGCCCCAGUGCCGCAGAGAAGUUGUUAAGCUCGCCGCCUGGGAAGUACGGCCGCAAGGCUGAAACUUAAAGGAAUUGGCGGGGGAGCACCACAAGGGGUGAAGCUUGCGGUUUAAUUGGAGUCAACGCCGG
rnacentral:rRNA from 1 species